GUCUUGGUGACCACAGCCAUUUUAACAGGCGUGAGGUGCUAGCUAAUUGCAAUUUUGAUUUGUAUUUCCCUGAUGAUUAGAAUGUUGAGCACCUUUUCACUAUUU